CUCCAUUCCAAAAACCACGAGAUCAUGACCUGAGCUGAAACCAAAAGUCGGACAUUCAACCAAGUGAGCCACCCAGGUGCCUCCUGGGCCCUGUCUUUCUGAAGGCAGGACCCAGAAUCACAAAGGCUGAAGAGAGUGAGGAGCAAGACGAGGGAGACCAGAAGAAGGGCGACUCUUUGAUUCAGGACCAGAAGGAGGAGAAGGAAAGGAGAUAGCGUGUUGGCAGUUGCCCAAAACACGGGUCUGAAAAACCAGGAUGGCGGUUUCCAGGACCAUCCAUUUUCAGCAUUUUGAGCAGGCUGGCUUUGACCCUGAGUACACGGUUCCCUGAUGCUCUUUGAGGCACAUGUCUGUCCUUUCAAAGGAUCUGUGUCUUUCUCACCGACUGCUACCCCUGCUUUGGAGCCACUGGGAUGAAACGAAGGUAAAGUUCUGCUCUCGCUGUACCGUCUGGCGGCUGGGACUAUGAAAGCCAUGCUCCCAGGGGAAUUUCCAUUCAGCACCAGGGAACUUUUGUUUUCAUGCAGAUAAGGAAUGUGGCAACCAGCACCCGGAAUCCUAAUAAAAGAGCAAGCCAAGCUACGCUGGUGAGAAUGGGAACUAAAAAAUAACAUCCAAAAUCUAAGAAAAAGAGGCGCCUGGGUGGCUCAAGUCAGUUCAGCAUCCGACUUCAGCUCAGGUCAUGAUCUCAUGGCUGGUCUGUUCGAGCCCCAU